AAACCACGUCAAGAUAAUUUUCUGUCUUCAAUUCACUCUGUAGUUUGGAAACCUAGGCUUUUUCCAAUGUGGAUAUGCUAAAGAAUGCUGUCAAUCUAGACGUGCAACAGUGAACAAAGGAGGAUCUGGUCCCAUUGUGACUGAUGAUCUUGAAGAUUCAUGUGGUGCUGGGUGGUCCGUUCAAAGAAGGGAAAAGCAUCAUGAGUAUACUAAUGAGAAAAUCACAGGGAACAUUCAGGGCUUGGCUUGGGGAUUUUUAUCCUGGAGAACAGCAAAGGCUUUCUAAUUUUUCUGCAAUCUGGCUAGUUUUCUGAAAAGACAAUAGAAGUUGGGUUAAAAAAAACACUCAUUGACGAUUCCCAAAUGUCCCCAUAUAAUAACAUUUUCUCAGUUCAUUUUUCUGCCUCAGCCUUCUUUCUGACUGUUCCUACUUUUUAUUAUUCCAUUUGUUUUUGUUUCCUGAGA
rnacentral:lncRNA from 10 species